CCGGGCGGGAGGAGGGGAACCUGUGAGGGAGGGGCGGGGCGCUCCGGGAGGUUCGGCCGGGGGCAUCGCCGCCCCGCGCUCUGCUCUCCGGCCCGCGCAGCCCCGCGGGAGGCGCUGAGGUCGGAGGAGCGCGGUGGCGGGAGCGGCGUUCUGCCGCGCUGCCUGGGAUGAAGCGGCCACGCGGCGCUGCCCGGCCUUGCGAGGCUCCCCGCCAGGUUACCGGACCCGGCCGGCCGCUCGCUCUGCCCUCCCGCCCGGCUCCUGCGGCGUUCGCGUCGUUUCCGCGCCGCGGCGCUGCGAUCAGAGCCGUUGCUUCGGGACACCCGGACGGUCCGACGCGAAGUUUCGUUCCCGCUUUACUUUUUUAAUUCUCGGCGGACUCUCGUGUGAGAUGUUGAGGACGCAGCAUCCUGACCGUCCCGUCCGGGACAGCAGGCGGUGCUGGGUUGGCACUGAGGGCUUACAGCCCGCUGAGCUGCCGGCCUCGCCUCUCCUAAUGGCUGGGAGUGCUUUCAUCUGCAAAUCCGUGGUUCUCACAUCAGUGUUGUACGACCUUCGGACAGCUUCUCAAGUUGUCGCUCGGAUGCACGUUCUCUCAGGCACCCGUGCGCACAAACCUGCUCGGGGUGCUCUUCUUCCUUCUCUGAUACCCGUUGACACUCCUACAGGUUUCAGACCUGAGUUGUGUUACAGAAGUCCUGGCUCUCUUGUCACUUAUUUAUUGGUUUGUUAAACAGAAUCACAUCAGCUGCUGCGGAGCCAAGAAUUGGUUUAAAAUUGUGUUACAGAACUCUCGCUUUCCUAGGAGAAGACAUCAUAGAACUAAUUUUACCUUCGUUUCUCCAGGAAGCGGGGAGUAAAGCUGCGGUGGAAGCAGUGCAGUCGUUAUUCAGAGGAGGCCUUGUUCCUGUAGAGCAUUACAGUGUUUCUAAACACAGGCUGUGGGAAAGGUUAGCUUGGAAAGCUGGUAAAACUUAAUUACGACUGUCUGACAGUCCGUUAAGAGGAGUAUGGCAGGGUAACUCUGUGAUGUCUCAUAGUACAAGCCCAAAAGGACAUUCAGUGGUACUCAUAAAGUGGGAGUUUUGAAAAACAAUAGGUGGUGAGGCUUUUCCAAGCUAUGUAAUUAUAAUGAAACUAACUGCCAGAGGAAACCAUUCAGCAGCAUUCAAAGCACACAGAUAUUUGUAAGAACACAAAAAGCACCUACUGCAUUCGCAGCAGAAGCCAAGAAAACAUUUAGAAGAUGCUGAAGCACGUGACUUGGUAAUCUGUAGGGAAUAAGAACUGUGCUUUUCUGUAUCCGCAGCGGUCAGUGCCUGGUUCAGAGCAGGGGCGGGGGGUGCUGUUGGAUCAGAAGGGUUGAGAGCUUUGUCACGUGUCGGGUGAGGACACAUGAAGUCAUACUGCUCAAGUUCAAAGGUCCACCUGCUGCGACCUGUUCCUCACUCAUAAAGUGGGAGCGCGCUGUGCCACGAGGAGCUGAGCGGCGCUGCCGGCUGUGCGCACGAGGCAUGGGAAGCUUGGAAGGCAGCUUGCUUCAGAAGGGGCUCUGCAUCGGCGAUGGCGGGUUCUUCUCUUGGCAGUCAAUUGCAGGGACUGCCAACUGAGAUAUCCUAGGUGCGUGUUUUCUUCACUGAGGGAAAAAAAUCCGUCGUUGCCAGCAGUGUUGCGCGGUGUUGAAAUGUUAUGCUCUGUUAAUGUUCAUUUGAACGGCCGUUCUUCGUGACUUCCUCCCAACUCUUUCUGCUGUUCUCAAGUCUUGCUGGCCUGCUAGCUUUGUGUUCCCGUGCUCACUGCCAAGGACUUGCUUAGAGUCACUUCCUUGUUUGUCACAGAGAUUCCGUGUGCGUGAGCCCAGCUCUUGGUGAGCUGCUGCAUACACCUGCCUUCAGGUGCCGUGUGUUUUACAGGGCUAAAUUCCAUGGCUGUGAGAAAUAGUUGUUUAAACAACGCAAUUCUUGUUUGGGUGAAAGAAUUUUAAAAUUAUCUAUUUCUAGUAUUUGUUAUUUCUCUUCCUUAUCUGAAGGGAAUACGCUUUGUUCAGUAGGUGAACAACCACGGACUUGACUUGCUUGAGGAGCAGCUCGCAGGCUGUGCUUGCUCUGCAUGCCCAGACGUCUGUCAUGCAAUCUGUCUGUCCAGGAGCAGCUACAGACUUACUGUUCUGACUGCUUGCACUUAGCAAGGGAGCCAGAAUUCAUAUGGUGCUGUGCGCCUCUUCAGACACAAAGGCAAGCGUGAAUUUAAACCAACUGAAAUGUGUGUUCGAUUUAGCACAGAACAUCUUUGAGGUGUCUGCAGCCACGGAGCAAUCUGCCAGGGAUGGAAACGCAUCCUUCAGCAGUCGGUCCGAUUGCAGGAGGUUGAACUGUGGAGUGUCCAUACUAGCAAGCCUUCGCUGCUCCGUGGGAAGACUUAGAUUUGGGUGGCAGGACUGGGAGUGUUCGUGUUCCUGCAUUGGCACAAGUCCUUGCACACGUACCGUAACCCUGAUUCUGUGUGUCUGAAAGUCCCAGUGUAAUGCAGUAAAUAAGUAUACGUGCCCCACUUUCUCUUUAAACCAGUGCUGUGUUGGAGAGGCACAGUGUCCUUGGUGCUGGAGUCAGCCAGAAGGUUCGAGCUGCUGCAGAACGCUGCACUGUUUCUGCGCGGGGAGACGAGCUGUUGGAAGCACUCAGCCUUACUUCUUCUGCUUGGGAAGGAGUGCAGCUGAGGGUGGCGGUGAGUUCUCGGCAUACCACAAGUACACACACACGUGUUUGUUCGGGCAGAUCCGCCGGAGUCUGAAGUGAGCAGUAAGUGGCUGUGUGUGCAGAGGAGCUGAGGGGUGCCAGCUUUCCAGAGCUGCACCAGAAAGUGACAGAUAAAGAGCUGGCUCCUCUUCCUUUUCUGUGUGGGCUUUGCCUCGGCAGCUCGUGCAGCAGAGCGCACGUGAGGGGCUUGCUUCAGCCUUUUAUUGCAGAGUUUUCAGGAUUUGAUUGCUUGUGCAGAGUCUGCUGCAGAUAUAAUUAAACUGAAGCAGAAGUGCAUGACAACCUGUAUGCAGCUUAGCCAACCCUGUGUGUUUCCCAGGCAGAUCAUGCUGUGAAUCACUGAAAACAUGUAAUCUUCUAUUGCAAAGUGCUUGCUUACUGGAGUUCUUUUGUUCUGUAGGCCGUGCAUUUUUCACUGUUUAUGAUUUUGUCUGUAUGAAAAUGUAAACUCUUAACAAUUAAUAAAAUAUGUCACUCAUUAGUUAUUCAGUGUCAUUUUCGUCUUGUCACCUUGGUCUGGAAAUAAUUUCAGCAGAAUGCCCUUUGCAACUCUGGCAGUUCUGGAAAACGUGGUUGUGUUUCAUCAGGUGGAAGCCAUCGCUUUGGGUUUCCUACUUUUCAAGGAGGUCAGCUUCAACAGCGAGUCUUUGCUUUUGUGGGACCCAUGGAGCUUGGGGAAAGCUUUGGGAAAAGCUGCCUACUGAAAAUCCAUAAAUAGAACUGGGUGGCUGGAGCUAACUAGAAUAAAUGCAGUAUUUCUUUGACUGUUCACUGUAGGAACUUGGAUGUCUCGCUGUUGUUGAAAUCAGCCGUCAGGCUUGGCAGAAAGGCCUCCGGCUGGCUGCUGAUUGUUUCCUUUGGUUACUUACAGGAGUACCUGGAAUUCGUGUCAGUGCAGUGGGAGGCUUUUCCCGCUCUGCAGGACAGACACCGCUCUCACUCCAUGCGUAACAGAUUUAAAACUGAAUUAAAUAGUCUUAAGAGGAAAACUUGGUCUCAUCUCUAACCCUUCUUUGGGCCAGGGGAGGAGAGGAGGAAGGGAAAAUAGCCGUGGCAGGGAACGUGAGCCGGGUGCUGGUGGCCGUUUUCCCUCGUUUCAACAUGCUGAAUUUCCACCAGCUUCAAAUCCCAUGUGUGUCCCUGAGGUGUGAGAGCACUCAUAUUUUAAACAGAAGCGCAGGUAUUUUCUUCUCUGGUGUUUACCAGAAUUGAAUUGAGCUGUCUGUAACGGAGUAACAGUUGCCAAAGCUCUGAAAGUUCCUGCCCCGUUUGUACGCUAAUGCCUCUUCAAGUCAGAUUUCUCUUUGGGGCUGGGCAUAAAACAAAGUACUGCAAUCUCUCGCUGAGCAAAAAUGGCUUAGGAAUAUGUAUUUUCUCAGUUUAACCUUGAGCAAAAUAUUUUUGGCAUCAGAACAUUCAUUUCCAUGGACUUGUGCUUUUAACGUACAGCUUUUCAUAAUUGGCCAGGUUUGGUUUGGUUAUUUAUGCAAAGCGGAGAGGCGCUUCGUUCUUUUCUGUCUUUGCCUCUGAAAUCUUUAGGAAAUGGGACAAUUGCAGGGAUUUCCUUGGUCCUUGGUGUGCUGUCAGCUCUGCGUGUUGGAGGAGCUUCCUCAUGUGGCUGUUACACGUUGGUUGAUCUGUACUGUGCUUUGAAGCCGUAAAACUCUUAAUUAGGCUGGUAGAUUUACACAUGGAUGCGGAUAGCUCACAAGCAUUCUGCUGUCAUCCCCCCUUACUGCACUGGAGCUGGGCUCUGCAUCUGGUCCCUGAAGGACAGCACUCCAGCAGGCUGAGCUCCGAGCUGCCGUGUUUGGUUCAGCUCUGCAGCUCCUCAGUUCUGCUGCCGUAUGGAGGCUGGGACAACAGAAAUACUGCAGGCGUUUUUGAACACCAGCUCACCCCCACAACUUCUUGGUUGACAUCAGAACUCCUUCAGGCAGUGUGGAAGUGCAGGCAUUUCUUACUCCCUUUCUGCCCUGUGACCCAGCAGCCAUUGUGGCCAUUACAGCCUUGGGCUUUUGAAAUGGAGAGAAGAAAGCAGAAAAGGGCUGAAUUGUGCAGAGGGCUUCCAGGUAAGUGCACGCUUUCAGAAGCUGCUUGUUUCUUGUAUGCUGCUUGAGACUUUUAUAAAAUACUCAUUUCUGUGCUUUUGGUUUUUUUUUUGUUUGUUUCCAAGCUUUACUUUUAUAAAAGCUGUUCUAAUUCUUAUCCCCCGCUUGGCCGCAGGUACCUGUAUUGGGUGAGCACAAAGCAGGAGGAGCAGUUCCCUGUGCUACGGGGUUGGGGCAGACUGGGGACUCUUUGGGAGCUCCGUACCCACAUGUCCUCCAAUGGGAAAUGGGGGAGAUGAUGAGGAAUUGGAGGCAGAGGCACUUUCUCCUCCAAAAGCAGUGUCCCCUUCAACUGUAAAAUGCAAAUGUUUUUCACCUUUUAAAACACGGGGUGUCUUUAAGAAGGAAUGAAAUAGUUGGCCACAUCUCUCACAAGUUAAUAUAGGUUGCUCAGAUGUAGCCUGGGGCAAAACAUAGAUUUUUCUCAUUGCAUUUGAAUAAAGCUUUCUCUGUUUCCCUUAGAUCUCAAAUCAGUAGGAAACCCAUGUUUCAAUGACGAACCAUCGCUUGGUUUGGUGUGUGCUUGCAGGGCCGUGCUAGGUGCAGCUGUUACUCUUUAUGAGCCUGAGUAAGCGGAGGAAAAGGAAGAAAGUAAUGAAAACUCGGUGUACGAAAACUAGAGCGACUGAGCUAACUUGUGCUUUCUGGUCCAGUUUCAGAUGCAGUCCUCUUCCCACCAGCACGGCUGGGAGCUCAGCUUGUUGGCACAGCGCUCAUCUUCACCACGCUUCCUGACCUCUUCUUAGCAGUGAUGAUGCUGAGCACUCAGCACUGCAAAACGGCAAGGCGAACAGAAGCCCCUGGAAGUGUGUAUGAAAGAGGGAUGUGAGUUUAUGAGAAGCUAGGGUGAGGUCUGUUGGUCUCGUUUGCUGCUUUUCAGCAUGGACUCCUUCCAUGCACUGCCAUGUGGAUGAAAAGCUGCUCAUGCACAAGCCUUAAAACAGGAACUCGAGGAGCUGCACGCUGCUUUGUAUGGAAACACUGCUCAAACAACAAGAUCUGGCCUGGGCCAUCAUUUAAAGCUCAAGCCAUGCCUGGAUGUCUGUCUUCAAUAUGAACUGGAUGUCCCAAGUCCUCUAGAGCAGUGGCUCCCAGUUGGUGAAGGGCAACAUGCUAAAGGAAAGGCGUGGAGCUGGAGGCUUUAAGGAUGGAAAUGCAGCGCAGAAGCAACGUGCAAAGAGCUGCCCAGAGAAGUUUUUGUACAGCACAUCAGAGACCCCACAGCCAGGGAUUCUGGGAGGAUUUUACAGCAGCUACAGCGAUGCCAAGUUAUUCUUGUCUAUCUGUUACAGCAGCUCAGGAGUUGCUGCCAAGGUUGGUGCCCACAUUCACACCAACUGCACAGGUACUGCAUUUGAAGCUCACGUAUGGCUUAAAAAUAUCCGACAGUGUAAUUGUCCUGAUAAGACAAGAAAGUCUGUAUGGCUUGUACGAAGGUCCUCACCUCACUGCCCUGUGAGUUGGCUUUUAGCAAGCAGCUGCAACCACUGCUGCUAUGUCAGACUACUCAGCUCCUGUGUUAACCUGAUUUUCAGAGCCACGAUCACUUUGAUAUGGCUGCAGAAGGAAACAAAAGAGCCAGAAGCCUCACAAACUUUAAACAAUUUAUUAGAACCCAAUAUAUUAGAACACCUAAUUCAGGGUGAAAUUACAUUUUAAGACCAAAAAAAUGCAAUGCUUAGAUAUGGCAUUUACUGUGACUGCUAUUCUUAGAAUCCUGGUACAGGUUUUUCUUCCUGUGUGAUGUCAGUAUGGAUCUAAUGCAGAGCAGGCCCAGCGCUUUGCUUUGAGGGCUGCUCCCCCCACCUCUCAGACACGUAAUGAAGAACUCAGGCCUCAAACACCACCACCA